rnacentral:tRNA from 4 species
CGUCGUCCUGGGCCAGGAGUUCGCCGCGUUCGGGCCGGGGCAGGUGUGGCUCCAGUCCGCGCCGAUGUC